rnacentral:lncRNA from 1 species
CAUCCUAAGGAUAUAUAACGAGCAAUUUGGAAAAAUAAAUUUGUCGGUUUCUUAUACGGUUGCGAAGUAGUAGUGGCCACAAGAAAAACAGUGUUUGGGGAGAUAACUCUUACAAGGUAAAGGUUUUUGUUACGCGGUGUCAGUUUCAGAAGCGCAUUAACUGUUCGAUAUCAUAUACCAAAUAUCUAAGCGACAUCUUGUGAAACAAAAAAACAGCGAAGGAAAAAAAAGUUGGCGGAAGAAAAAAAAAAAAAAUAAUAAUAAUAAUAAUUAAAAACCAAUUGUUCAAAGAACAAUUGAAGGUCUUUCAACCAAUAAGGAUCUAUUUUGAUAUGAAAAUAUUAAAAUUCAGUUGAAAAUGUCAGUUCCUAUGGCUUAAUGAUGUAAAAAAAUAUGAAUUUCAAAGCAAAGGUCAAAAUCUAGAACGUCCAAUUAACCUAUGACCUUGACCUCAAUUUCAAGGUCAUAGACUAAGGAACCUCAAAUCAAAAGACACUAGUUCCUGUAUUAUGUAUGGUUCAUGAGUAAUAUCACUUUACGCAUAAUUCUAAAUAUAAGAGGGGCAAAAACUCCCAUUUAUUGUCUACGCACCCUUCCAAUCAAAAUUUAUAAGUUACGACAUGUCGCAACUAACAAUUUAGUAAAAAUAAUUUGUCGAAAUCUUAUAAAGUUAAUGAAAAUAAGUGAAAAUAAGCCAAAAUCAAAAUUUAGAAAUUUGACCUUGACCUUUGACCUUGACCUAAUUUUCAUUUUUUUGGACCAAGGAUCUUAAAUCAAAAGACCCUAGGUCUCUAUCACUUAUAGUUUUACCAGUUAGAAAUGCAUAUCACUUAUAUCAUAUAUAAAAGGGGGGAUAACUCUCAUAUGGAGUCUCCGGAUAGCUUCGGUCAAAAUGAAACAGAACAUCCUGAGGAUAUAACGAGCAAUUUGGAAAAAUAAAUUUGUCGGUUCUUUUACGGUUGCGAAGGAGUUAGUGGCCACAAGAAAAACAGUGUUCGGGGAGAUAACUCUUACAAGGUAAAGUUUUUUGUUACGCGGUGUCAGUUUCAGAAGCGUAUUAACUGUUCGAUAUCAUAUACCAUAUAUCUUAAGCGAACAUCUUGUGAAACAAAAAAACAGCGAAGGAAAAAAAAGUUGGCGGAAGAAAAAAAAAAAAUAAUAAUAAUAAUAAUCAGAACAAACCCUAUAGGUCUUUCAACUGAAAGGUUUGAAAACCUAAUAAUAAUAAUAAUAAUCAGAACAAACCCUAUAGGUCUUUCACCUGAAAGGUUGAAAGACCUAAUAAGCCCAAAUCAAAAUUUAGAAUUUGACCUUGACCUUUGACCUUGACCUAAUUUUCAUUUUUUUGGACCAAGGAUCUUAAAUCAAAAGACCCUAGGUCUCUAUCACUUAUAGUUUACCAGUUAGAAAUGCAUAUCACUGAUAUCAUAUAUAAAAGGGGGGAUAACUCUCAUAUGGAGUCUCCGGAUAGCUUCGGUUGAAAUGAAACAGAACAUCCUAAGGAUAUAACGAGCAAUUUGGAAAAAAAAAUUUGUCGGUUUCUUAUACGGUUGCGAAGGAGUAGUGGCCACAAGAAAAACAGUGUUCGGGGAGAUAACUUUUACAAGGUCAAGUUUUUUGUUACGCGGUGUCAGUUUCAGAAGCGCAUUAACUGUUCGAUAUCAUUUACCUUAUAUCUAAGCGAUAUCUUGUGAAACAAAAAAACAGCGAAGGAAAAAAAAGUUGGCGGAAGAAAAAAAAAAAAAAAUAAUAAUAAUAAUCAGAACAAACCCUAUAGGUCUUUCACCUGAAAGGUUGAAAGACCUAAUAAUAAUGAAAAUAAUC